rnacentral:rRNA from 1 species
CCUACGGGAGGCAGCAGUGGGGAAUAUUGGGCAAUGGGCGCAAGCCUGACCCAGCAACGCCGCGUGAAGGAAGAAGGCUUUCGGGUUGUAAACUUCUUUUAAGAGGGAAGAGCAGAAGACGGUACCUCUUGAAUAAGCCACGGCUAACUACGUGCCAGCAGCCGCGGUAAUACGUAGGUGGCAAGCGUUGUCCGGAUUUACUGGGUGUAAAGGGCGUGCAGCCGGGAAGACAAGUCAGAUGUGAAAUCCCGCGGCUAAACCGCGGAACUGCAUUUGAAACUGUUUUUCUUGAGUACCGGAGGGGUAAUCGGAAUUCCUGGUGUGGCGGGGAAAUGGGUGGAAAUAAGGAAGAAAACAGGGGGCGAAGGCGGAUGACGGGACGGAAACUGACG